CACAAUUCUCUCAAAAUCCCAUUUCUUCAUCCUCUCUUCUUCAAAAUGAACUCACCAUCAACAGCAACAAGAAGAAGAAGACCAUGUUUCGUUGAAGAAGAUGAUGGUCUUGUUUCUAUAGCUGAAACUCAACCUGAGUUCUCAGGCAAUAAUAAUCAAAAUCAUAUUAAUAAUAAUAAUAAUAACAAUAACAAGAAUCAUAAUUUGAUUUAUAGACCUCUUUAUUAUUCAAGAAGAAAUAGCAUGAAGAAUCACUCUUCUUCUUCUUCUUCUUCUUCUUAUUCUUUGUUGUCUCCAAGAUCUGUUAUUUCUGCUGGAAAAUACUGUGAUGGUAGAUUUGAUGAACCCCAUCACUAUUUCUUGGAU
rnacentral:lncRNA from 1 species